GAGCUCUGUUCUUGAGACGCGAGUCUGCCGAAACUCCCAGGCGAAUAAAGCCAAAUCCUUCCUUAACCUGGUGUCUGAGGGGUUUUGUCCACGGCUCAUCCUGCUACCUUUCUUAGUUCCCUGACCGGGAAAUCGGGUGACUGAUGGACGGUGGAGGCAGCCCCUUAGGCAGUUUAGGCCUGCCCUGUGAAGUAUCCCUGUGGGCGGCUCUGGCCAGCUUGAGUGACGCAGAUCCUGAGAGCGCUCCUGGGUAGGUAUUUGCCCCGGUGGGAUGCCUUAUCAGAGUGGUGCAUGGCAGGCCCCCGUGGAGGAUCAACGCAGUGGCUGAACACUGGGAAGGAACUGGCACUUGGAGUCUGGACAACUGGAAUACGGUAGGACCGGUCCUGGGAAUUUCCCCACUCCGUUUGAGUGGAAGCGUAGCCUGAUCACCCACCGUGUGCCCUUAUCGGCACUUGGGUCUCAGCAUUGAUUUUGAUUUGGUUUGACUUGUUUGCAAUCGGCACUUUGGUCUCAGUAUUGAUUUUGAUUUGGCUUGACUUGUUUGCAAAAAGGAAAGUGAAAGUGAGUGCUUGAGUUUGAGACAGGCGAGACUAGAGUGACCCCUUUACCCUUUCCUUCUUGUAGUGUGAGUGUUGUUUUGUCUCGGGAGGAAGGUGGGUGGAACGCAAAGUAAGCCCACUCUUCUAGGAACUAUGUUGAAAAAUUUCAAGGAAGGAUUUGGUGGAGACUAUGGAGUUAACUAUGACACUAGGAAAGCUUAGAACUUUGUGUGAGAUAGACUGAGCAGCAUUAGAAGUGGGUUGGCCAACAGAAGGAAGCCUAGACAGGUCCCUUGUUUCAAAGGUGUGGCACAAGGUAACUGGUAAAGGAUACCUAGACCAGUUUCCAUACAUAGACACUUGGUUACAGCUGGUUUUAGACCCCCCCACAGUGGUUAAGAGGAUAGGCAGUAGUAAUACUAGUGGCAAAGGGACAAACAGCCAAGGAAGAAUCCUGGUCCACCUGCCGAGGGAAUCAACUCCUAAAGUCCUGUCCGACCCAACAUCAGAGGAUUCAUGGCAAGAAACAGCACCAGUGACCUCCCCCUUUUACCAAGAAGGAAGGCCUUCCAUUCCUGAGCCCACUGCACCCAAGCUUCCACAAGGCCUAUAUACCCCUAGGCCAUCAAGAGUAGAAAAGAAAGGAUGUGAGGCCUCGGGAGAAACCCCUCCCUUGGCAGCCUGUUUGAGGCCUAGAACUGGGAUACAAAUGCCCCCGAGAGAGCAAUGGUAUACUGGGGUAGACGAGGACGGGCAUAUGGUGGAAAGGCGUGCCUUUGUGUACCAGCUCUUCACCCCUACCGAUCUCCUCAAUAGGAAGAACAAUACCCCAUCCUAUACCGGAAAGCCUCAAGCUAUAAUUGAUUUGCUCCAAACUAUAAUCCAGACCCACAACCCCACCUGGGCUGAUUGCCACCAGGUGCUCAUGUACCUCUUUAACACAGAUGAAAGGAGGAGAGUGCUCCAAGCAGCAACUAAGUGGCUGGAAGAACAUGUUCCUGCUGAUUACCAAAACCCCCAAGAGUAUGUGAGGAUCCAAUUACCAGGAACAGACCCCCAGUGGGACCCAGAUGAAAGACAGUAUGCAAAGGCUAAACCGGUACAGGGAAGCCCUUCUGGAAGGGUUAAAGAAGGGAGCGCAGAAGGCCACAAAUGUUAACAAAGUCUCUGAGGUCAUUUAAGGGAAAGAUGAGAGCCCAGCACAAUUCUACGAGAGACUAUGUGAGGCCUAUCCUAUGUAUACUCCCUUUGAUCCCGAUAGCCCUGAAAAUCAGUGCAUGAUUACCAUGGCUUUAGUCAAACUACAGAAGACAUUAGAAGAAAAUUGCAGAAACAGGCUGGGUUUGUAGGCAUGAAUAUGUCACAGUUAUUGGAGAUAGCCAACCAGGUGUUUGUAAAUAGAGAUGCAGUAAGCCGCAGAGAGCACCACAGAGAGUGAAUGCCAAGCCCGGCGAAACACUGACCUGCUAGCGGCAGCUAUUAGAGGGGUUUCCCCCAAAGGGGCGAGAGAAGGGGGGCCCCAGGAAAAAUACCCAAUCUGGCCAUCCACACUUGCAGCGUAACCAGUGUGCUUUACUGUAAGAAAACAGGACAUUGGAAGGAAGGGGCCCCCAGUUGAAAGGGAAAUGAGGUGACUCUGAGCAAAGGGUCUCAGACAAGGACGAAGGAGACUUGUUCAAUCUGCCAGAAGGGUUAUGGGACAGAGGGGGACCAGGCUCAUGUGCCCCCAAAGAGCCCAUGGUCAGGAUGACAGCUGGGGGCAGAACAUUGAGUUUCUAGUCAAUACUGGUGCUGAACAUUCUGUAGUGACCACCCCGGUUGCCCCCUUAUCCAAAAAGACUAUUGAUAUAAUUGGAGCCACAGGGGUUUUGGCAAAGCAAGCUUUCUGUUUGCCCCAGACCUGUACCAUAGGGGGACAUGAAGUGACUUACCAGUUCCUGUACAUGCUUGACUGCCCCUUGCCUUUGCUAGGAAGGGACCUACUUAGCAAACUGAAAGCCACCAUCUAUUUUACAAAGCACAGCUCUUUACAGUUAAAGUUACCUAGAACGGGAAUCAUCACUGGUCAGGCAAAAACAGUACCCGGUCCCCAGAGAAGCUCUUGAAGGUAUCCAGGUCCAUCUCAAGUGCCUGAGGGCCUUUGGAAUUAUAGUCCCUUGUCAUUCUCCAUGGAACACUCCCCUCCUGCCUGUUCCCAAGCCAGGGACCAAGGACUACAGGCUGAUACAGGACUUGCACUUGGUCAAUCAAGCUACGGUGACUUUACAUCCAACAGUACCUAACCCAUACACAUUGUUGUGGUUGCUGCCAGCUGAGGACAGCUGGUUCACCUACCUGGGCCUGAAGGACGCUUUCUUUAGCAUCAGACUAGCCCCUGAGAGCCAGAAACUGUUUGCCUUUCAGUGGGAGGAUCCAGGGUCAGGUGUCACCACUCAGUACACUUGGACCCAGCUUCCCCAAGGGUUCAAGAACUCCACCACCAUCUUCGGGGAGGCCCUGGCUCGAGACCUGCAAAAGUUUCCCACCAGAGACCUAGGCUGCGUGUUGCUCCAGUAUGUCGAUGACCUCCUGCUGGGACACCUCAUGGCAGUUGGGUGUGCCAAGGGAAUGGAUACCCUGCUCUGGCACCUGGAGGACUGUGGGUAUAAGGUAUCCAAGAAGAAAGCUCAGAUAUGUCAACAGGAGGUACGUUACUUGGGAUUUACUAUCCAACAGGGGGAGCGCAGCCUGGGAUCAGAAAGAAUGCAGGUCAUUUGCAACCUACCGGAGCCUAAGACCAAAAGGCAGGUGAGAGAAUUCUUAGGAGCUGUGGGGUUCUGCAGGUUAUGGAUCCCAAACUUUGCAGUACUGGCCAAACCUCUGUACGAAGUCAUAAAGGGAGGUAACAAAGAGCCUUUUGAAUGGAAGUCACAAAAGCAAUGAGCUUUUCAUGAGUUAGAAGAGAAACUCAUGUCAGCCCCAGCCCUGGGGCUACCUGACCUGAUGAAGCCAUUUACACUGUAUGUGGCAGAGUGAAAAGAUGGAAGUUGGGAGUUUUAAUCCAGACGGUGGGGCCCUGGCCAAGACCAGUAGCCUACCUCUCCAAACAGCUAGAUGGAGUUUCUAAAGGUUGGCCCCCAUGUUUGAGGACCUUGGCAGCAACUGCCCUGCUAGCACAAGAAGCAGAUAAACUAACUCUUGGGCAAAACCUGAACAUAAGCACCCCCCAUGCUGUGGUGACUUUAAUGCAUACCAAAGGACAUCAUUGGCUAACAAAUGGUAGACUAACUAAGUACCAAAGCUUGCUCCGUGAAAAUCCCUGCAUAACCAUUGAAGUUUGCAACACCUUGAACUCCACCACCUUACUCCCAGUGUCAGAGAGCCCAGUCGAACGUAACUAUGUAGAGGUGUUGGACACAGUUUAUUCUAGCAGGCCUGACCUCCAAGACCAUCCUUGGACAUCAGUAGACUGGGAGCUGUACAUGGACAGGAGCAGCUUCGUCAACCCACAAGGAGAGAGGUGUGCAGGAUAUGCAGUGGUAACCCUGGAUGCUGUCACUGAAGCCAAAUCAUUGCCCCAGGAUACUUCAGCCCAAAAGGUCAAACUCAUUGCUUUAAUUUGGGCCUUAGAGCUAAGUGAAGGUAAGACUGUAAAUAUUUAUACUGACUCUCGGUAUGCCUUCUUAACCCUCCAAGUGCAUGGGGCAUUAUAUAAAGAAAAAGGCCCAUUGAAAUCUGGGGGAAAAGACAUAAAGUACCAGCAAGAGAUCCUGCAGUUAGUAGAGGCAGUAUGGAAGCCCCAAAAGGUGGCAGUCAUGCAUUGCAGAGGACACCAGCGAGCUUCCACCUCGAUUGCCUUGGGGAACUCCCAAGCUGACUCAGAGGCUUGAAAAGUAGCAUCCACCCCCUUCUGGGCAUCAAUCACAGCCCCCCUAUUCCCUCAGGCACCUGACCUUGUACCUACUUAUUCUAAAGAAGAGAAGGACUUUCUCUAGGCAGAGGGAGGACAGGUGAUAGAAGAGGGAUGGAUCUGGUUAUCGGACAGGAGAAUAGCCAUACCACAACUGCUAGGAGCCGCAGUCAUAUUGGCUAUGCAUGAGACCACGCACAUAGGCCAAGAGCCACUUGAAAAGUUGUUGGGCCAGUUCUUCUACAUCUCACAUCUGUAAGCCUUUGCCAAAACAGUGGUGCAGCAGUGUGUCACCUGCUAGCAGCACAAUGCUAGGCAAGGUCCAACUGUCCCGCCCAGCAUACAAGCUUAUGGAGCAGCCCCCUUUGAAGAUCUCCAAGUAGACUUCACCAAGAUGUCCAAAUGUGGAGGUAACAGGUAUUUGCUAGUUCUAGUGUGUACAUACUCUAGGUGGGUGGAGGCCUAUCCAACACGAACUGGGAAAGCUUGUGAAGUAACCUGUGUGCUUCUCCGAGAUCUCAACCCUACGUUUGGACUGCCCUUACGAAUCAGCUCAGACAAUGGGCUGGUGUUUGUAGCUAGUUGGUACAGAAGACAGCAAAGGUAUUGGGGAUCACAUGGAAACUACAUACCGCUUACCAACCACAGAGUUCUGGGAAGGUGGAGUGGAUGAAUCAGACUAUCAAAAAUAGUUUAGGGAAAGUGUGUCAAGAAACAGGAUUAAAGUGGGUAUAAGCCUCCCUAUGGUAUUGUUUAAGAUUAGAUGUACCCCUUCUAAAAGAACAGGAUAUUCCCCUUAUUAAAUAUUAUAUCAUAGGCCCCCCUCCCAGACUAUGGGGACUCCCAGGCACUCCUCGAGAGCUAGGUGAAAUUGACUUACAGCAACAGCUACAGGCUUUAGGCAAAAUUACACAAACAAUUUCAGCCUGGGUAAAUGAGAGGUGCUCUGUCAGCUUAUUCUCCCCAGUUCACCCUUUCUCCCCAGGUGAUCGGGUAUGGAUCACGGAUUGGAACAUAGCCUCCUUGCAGCCACGGUGGAGAGGACCCCAGACCAUCGUCUUGACCACUCCCACAGCCAUAAAGGUAGAAGGAAUCCCAGCCUGGAUUCACCACAGCCAUGUAAAACCUAAAGCAUCUGAGACCUGGGAGGUGAGACCAAGCUUGGACAACCCAUGCAAGAUGACUUUGAAGAAGAUGACAAGCCCUGCUCCAGUCACACCUGGAAGCUGACUGGUCCGUGCAUGGCUGAAGCAUGAGGAAACUCAUCGUGGGACUCAUUUUCCUAAAAUUUUGGACUUGUACAGUAAGGACUUCAACUGACCUUCCUCAGACUGAGGUAGGGCAAAAAGUUAAAACAGACUUUCUGUUUAAAAGGGACUUGUGUGUAUAAUGCUACCCAGUACAAGAUAUGCAGCCCAAGAAGUGACCAGCUUGAUGUGUGCUAUAACCCAUUGGAACUAGUUUAUCCCUGUUGGAAAACAGAGUAUGUAACUCUAGGAAUUGAUGGAACUGGACUGGAAGACCUGGGUAGUGAAGAUGACAGUGAGAACUCCCACUAGUGAGUGAGAUUCUCAAAGGGGGGAAUGAGAAGUGAGGCCAUUUCUCUUACUGUCUCCUGUCUCUGAAGAGGAGGAGGAAGUAAAAGUUGAAAAACAACAGGAAUGAAGUCAUUGGCAAGACCAGCCGGUGCCACUGAUGACCAGGCCUGAGGUUAAAAGAUCAACCCCCCACUCUAACCACAUGUGCUCUCAAUCUAUCAUGACCCUUUCAUGUGGACCCCCUUAGAGUUGUAAGCCCUUAAAAGGGCCAGGAACUCUGUCUUCAGGGAGCUCGGUUCUUGAGACAUGAGUCUGCCAAAGCUCCCAGCUGUUGAGAUGCGAGUCUGCCAAAGCUCCUGGCCGAAUAAAGCCAAAUCCUUCCUUAA